rnacentral:tRNA from 1 species
GCCUGGGUGGCUCAGUUGGUUAAGCAUCCGACUUCAGCUCAGGUCAUGAUCUCGUGGUUUGUGGGUUCGAGCCCCACGUCGGGCU